rnacentral:rRNA from 1 species
ACUCCUACGGGAGGCAGCAGUGGGAAGUAUUGCACAAUGGGCGCAAGCCUGAUGCAGCCAUGCCGCGUGUGUGAAGAAGGCCUUCGGGUUGUAAAGCACUUUCAGCAGUGAGGAAGGCGGAGUCGUUAAUAGCGGCCUCGUUUGACGUUAGCUGCAGAAGAAGCACCGGCUAACUCCGUGCCAGCAGCCGCGGUAAUACGGAGGGUGCGAGCGUUAAUCGGAAUUACUGGGCGUAAAGCGCAUGCAGGUGGUUUGUUAAGUCAGAUGUGAAAGCCCGGGGCUCAACCUCGGAAUAGCAUUUGAAACUGGCAGACUAGAGUACUGUAGAGGGGGGUAGAAUUUGAGGUGUAGCGGUGAAAUGCGUAGAGAU